UUGAUUUGAAUUUAAAUUUGACACUUUUUAAUCUUUAGAACUUCAAAUCAGCAAAAUAAUAGUUUCAAACUACUUUCUCCAAUUGCAUUUAAAAAUGUGCUUUUCCAGAAAGGUGGUUUGUAACCUUAUGUCCAUACAAGCAAAGAUCAGAUUCUGUUAGAAAAGCAUUGCCUUCUACAGGGCAACAAUUAUUAUAUCUUUAGAAGCUAGCAUAUUCUUUUGCUAAAAUGAUAAAGAUUUGAAUCCAAGAUUCUUCACUUUCCUAUUGUUGCCAUUGCAAAUGCACUAUGAAAAAUUGUAAUAUCAACAAAUUUUAGUAUAGAUUCUGUUGAGAAUAUGCCAGUAUUGAAUUAUCAUGCCAAGAGGAGAUAGAAUGAGUGAAAGACAUAUAAGUGGG
rnacentral:misc_RNA from 1 species